rnacentral:rRNA from 1 species
ACGGAAGGCAGCAGUGAGGAAUAUUGGUCAAUGGACGGAAGUCUGAACCAGCCAUGCCGCGUGAAGGAAUAAGGCCCUAUGGGUCGUAAACUUCUUUUGUGGUGGAGCAAUAAGGUGCACGUGUGCAUCGAUGAGAGUACAUCACGAAUAAGCAUCGGCUAACUCCGUGCCAGCAGCCGCGGUAAUACGGAGGAUGCAAGCGUUAUCCGGAUUUAUUGGGUUUAAAGGGUGCGUAGGCUGUUCUUCAAGUCAGAGGUGAAAUACCCGAGCCUAACUCGGGAACUGCCUUUGAUACUGGAGGGCUUGAAUACUGUUGCCGUGGGAGGAAUGAGUAGUGUAGCGGUGAAAUGCAUAGAUAUUACUCAGAACACCGAUUGCGAAGGCAUCUCACGAAUCCGUCAUUGACGCUGAGGCACGAAAGCGUGGGGAUCAAACAGGAUUAGAUACCCUGGUA